GACUCUUAUGAGUGUAGUAUCGCGUAACAAUCGCAUCAAAUCUGACAUCUGAACGACCUCCGCACUACGUCCUAAAAAUAGGCCAAGACGGGCUUGGUAAACUAAGGUCCUUGGCUUCUAAGGCACAUGAUUGAAAGAAUAAUGCCUAACCACAAAUAACUUGUGUGACAUUAUUUAAUCCAACUUGACCUCCACCAAGUGGAAUGGACUCGCAAGUCAACUGGCUAAGGAAUACUCCACACCAGUCGACAAGAC
rnacentral:lncRNA from 1 species